CCGCCCUUAGCUCAGCUGGAUAGAGCGCGUCCCUCCGGAGGACGAGGCCAGAGGUUCGAAUCCUCUAGGGCGGGCCA
rnacentral:tRNA from 1 species